CUCCGCACACACACCUCCGCACACACACCUCCGCACACACAUCAGCAUCAGGUCUAGACCGAAUCAAGCCGCUCCAUCACUCGUGUGUCAUUGUAACAGAUCUAGUAAGCUGUUACUUUACUUUCUUAUUUAAUUUGAGUGGUAAUUUUGCUCCCAGUCAUAAGGGGGCAUUAGGGAGUCAUUAUCAGUAAAGUUUCUCUAGAUCAGAGAAUCAGAGGAGUAGGAAGUUUGAGAAGGGACACUUGUGAGCUGGGAGUGUUUGCUCUCCCCAUGCUUAACCAAACCCUUAUUGAGGAACAUUAGUGUUCUACAUCUCAAUAGGGUUUUUGUUUCCACUUAAUUUGAGGGCAUCUCAACUCAGCUGGUCAAUGUUUCUAAUUUACGAUCUGCUUCAUCUUUGGACUUACUUCUAAAUUGAUCUCUACUCUACUCUGGAUUGCCGCUGUGGAUUAUCUUGGACUUCAUCCUUUUAACCUCCUAAACAUCUACAAUACUGUGAUGAACCCAGGGCAUUUGUGGAUAUUCAGACAUUGAAAGGUUUUGCCUCUAGAUAGGGACAGACUUGUUACAGAAUAUAUGGAUUAGACAGGUAUGGUAUUUGAUGUUGUGUGCUCCUUAAAGAAAUAUAUUCUGCUAUUCAACCGUGA